rnacentral:rRNA from 1 species
GAUGAACGCUGGCGGCGUGCCUAAUACAUGCAAGUCGAGAGAAGCGGGGACGGGUGAGUAACACGUGAAUAACCUCCUAUAAGACUGGGAUAACUUCGGGAAACCGGAGCUAACCCGGUUACUUAUAGACGGAUCCGCGCGGCAUUAGCUAGUUGGAAAGUUAACGGCCUACCAAGGCAACGAUGCAUAGCCGACCUGAGAGUGUGAUCGGCCACACUGGAACUGAGACACGGUCCAGACUCCUACGGGAGGCAGCAGUAGGGACUCUUGCGCAAUGGGCGAAAUCCUGACGGAGCAACGCCGCGUGGGUGAUGAAGGUCUUCGGAUCGUAAAACUCUGUUAUUAGGGAAGCGGUACCUAAUCAGAAAGCCACGGCUAACUACGUGCCAGCAGCCGCGGUAAUUC